rnacentral:rRNA from 1 species
UACGUAGGGUGCGAGCGUUGCCCGGAUUUAUUGGGCGUAAAGGGCGCGUAGGCGGCUACGCACGUCCGUUGUGAAAUCGCUCGGCUCAACUGGGCGGGGUCAGCCGGAUACGGUGUAGCUGGAGCAAGCUAGGGGGCAAUGGAAUUCCCGGUGUAGUGGUGGAAUGCGUAGAUUAUCGGGGAGGAACACCAGUGGCGAAGGCGGUUGCCUGGGAGCUUUGCUGACGCUGAGGCGCGAAAGCGUGGGG